GUCAGUUACACUUUACUCUUCUAAAUAUGGGUAUGCCAUCCUUUUUCAAGUGGUCAGCACAUCCCAACACCAAAAAGAAGCUGUUAAGAAAGAGGAGAAAAAAAACAAAUUCAAUAUGCGACCAGUGGAAACAUAUUAAAUAAUAUGUAAAUCCUGUUGAUACAUUAAUCCACUUGUGAGAACUUCAAAUACCUUUACUAGCUUUCCCAGUUUAUCACCU